AUAUACCACUAAACAGGUAUAUAAGCAUUAUUUAAGCUCAAGUGGAUUUUGGACUGUCAUUUCAAUCUAACUUAACGUGCAUUUUGCUAAUAGCAGCCCUACCAGAGUGCCACAAAUGUUAGAUUUUAGGGACCAACACACACCUCAGGAACACGAUUUACUACGUGUUUCUCCAACUGAU